CAGUCCCCACAUAAUAGUGCCGGCUAACCCUAACCCACCUGUCUGCCUGGGGCUCCAUCGUGUUUUUGAGCCGUGUACAGUCCUUUGAUUGGAUGACAAGUAUCACUUACGCCCCGGUUCUUCAAGAAGUCGUAGCUGGCGUACAAGUGACCGAAGCAAUUGCAAACACCCCCUUUGACAACACGCUCCUAUUCUUCGGAUUUGCUUUGGCAAUGAAAGUGACGGACCAAGCGCCGCCUACUACGGCCAUGCCCUUACCUGUAUUGAAGCGGAGGAUGGGUGUUAACUUUGGCCCUGGCCCAUCAAGUGGUGAUGAAGCCGUGCCCUUGCCGGCGAAGAUAGCGCUUGGCGCUCCUCCUGAGCCAUUGCAACCAAGUGUCAACGUCAACACUGCCCCAAACUAGGUCUGGUGCUGAUUGACCUCCCACUCUCAGCACCAGGAUCAGAUUGUUAUUGCCGUAGCAAGACUCUCCCACUUGUUUUGACAAAUCACCUGACGAUGCUCUUUUCGAACGACUUUCCUAAGUUUCAUCAAUGUUUAACCCUCAAACACGAUGCAGCCCUGGUUUCCACAUUACCCCGCGGCGGCCCCCCUGCCAGUGCAGCAAGUGCCCGUUUUCAUCCCGGUACCGGUGCCAGUCCCGGCUAACGACUCGCGUUACGUCCAGCAACUGGAACGCACCCUGGAUCGGGGAACAACCCGCGAAGUAUUUUUGCAGCGCCAUCCCGCCGACAAAUAAAAGGGGCAAUAAGAGCCCAACGCUUCCGUUUGGAAAACAUAUGAUUCCGAGGAUGAGAUGUUAAAGAAGGCAUUCCUGGCCGGAGCGGCGGCAGCCGCAUGCCAGUCAUACAAACAGUGGCGAAGCACCUUCCUCAGUUGAGAAGUUGAUAGCCUUUGGUCAGAAACAUCGUAAACUUCGAAGAUUGUGAAAAUUUGAAAGUCAACCCAGGCGCUAAAUGCCUGCAUAUUUUUC